AAUGUUUCAUUUGCCUUUGUCUUCAACGGCUUGAUUUUAAAUUGUUUUAAUGUUCUGUGCUUCUCAAACUGGGUUCUACAGCUCUAUGAUCUGUCCUGAGGUCUCACUAUAAAAGGAUAAGCUAGAAAUGUUGUCAUUAAAUCCAUAAGAGAGAAAAAAACCCGGGAGUCCCCUUUGCACAGUCCAGCAUGUUGUGCAUUACGGAGAAGGGUCCCCUUUGGGGGGGGAGGACCAGAGAGAAAGACCCCUCCUGAGUUUAGGGGUUCAGAAUUUGUGCAGGGUUGGUGAUGGGUAUGGGAUGGUGGGAUCUUGCUAUUUGUAACCGCUUUGCAAAGACGUUCCCCUCACUUACUCUCCAUGGCACACACAGGGGGUGUUUCUGGAUCAGGGGCAGCAGAGCCGACGAUAAGCCUCAGUGAGUGCAAGCCUGGCCACGAUCCUGCAGUGGGAGCCGUUCUCCAUUUGAGGAAGCCGCCGAUAUGCCCCCGGAUCAGGAGCCCUCAAAGGCUUUCUGGUGUCCACAAGGCAGGUCUGCUGCACAGAAGGAGUAUUUCUGGCCACUGUUAAGUGAGUUUUCACUUUACGAGGGGAAAAAACCAGAAAUGUUUUCACAGAGGGAGCAGAAAAGCCAACCAAGACCUUUAAAGCUAACAGAAAUGGAUUACAAUACAUUCAGCAACAUUUAUUUUAUUUUAUUAUUUUUGUUUCAACUUCUAUACUGCUCCAUACUGCUUGGAGCUGUCUCUGGCUGGUUUACGACAUAAUGAUGCAAACGAUACUUUGCCCUACUCACCCACCCAUGUGCCUAGCAAGCUGGGCCCUCAAUUUAUACACCCAGGGAAAAAAAUCUCUAGCCAGCUACUUGAACCCAUCACAAACAAUCUCAAUUCAUGAGCAGAGGCCUGACUGCAGUCCUGCAGUGUAAUCACUGCCCCACGGUUAUAUUGCUCUGCUGCCUUUUCUCCUAAAAAAGCAACCAAGUGGCUGACAGUAUUAAAAUGAGUAGUGUUAAAACCUAAAAUGAUACAUUAUUA
rnacentral:lncRNA from 1 species